UGGGGAAUAUUGCACAAUGGGCGCAAGCCUGAUGCAGCCAUGCCGCGUGUGUGAAGAAGGCCUUCGGGUUGUAAAGCACUUUCAGCGAGGAGGAAGGUGGUGAGCUUAAUACGCUCAUCAAUUGACGUUACUCGCAGAAGAAGCACCGGCUAACUCCGUGCCAGCAGCCGCGGUAAUACGGAGGGUGCAAGCGUUAAUCGGAAUUACUGGGCGUAAAGCGCACGCAGGCGGUUUGUUAAGUCAGAUGUGAAAUCCCCGGGCUCAACCUGGGAACUGCAUUUGAAACUGGCAAGCUAGAGUCUCGUAGAGGGGGGCUAGAAUUCCAGGUGUAGCGGUGAAAUGCGUAGAGAUCUGGAGGAAUACCGGUGGCGAAGGCGGCCCCCCUGGACGAAGACUGACGCUCAGGUGCGAAAGGCGUGGGGCAGCAAACAGGAUUAGAUACCCUGGUAGUCCACGCUGUAAACGAUGUCGAUUUUGGAGGUUGUGCCCUUGAGGCGUGGCUUCCGGAGCUAACGCGUUAAAGUCGACCGCCUGGGGGAGU
rnacentral:rRNA from 1 species